rnacentral:lncRNA from 1 species
AAGGUGAAGAUGCUGAGCUGGAACCCGGAUAACUAUGUCUGUGAAAGCAAGUUGGAUUUACAGACUUCCCAGAAACUAUGAUCCUACCCUACAUCCUUCUGCGGUCCCACGAGAAUACUUAAGAGCUUUAAAUGCUGUCAAACUGGAAAGAGUAUUUGCAAAACCAUUCCUUUUUCCCUGAAUGGUCACUGAGACGGAGUCAAUUGCUUGGCAAAGCAUCCAAGGAGCCUGGCUCCUGUCCUUUCUGGGCCAUGUGAUGGAGAGGUUAGAAUCUGGAACCUGACUCAACGGAAAUGUGUCCGUACAAUACAAGCACAUGAAGGCUUUGUACGAGGAAUAUGUCCUCACUUUUGUGGGACUUUUUUUUACUGUUGGUGAUGACAGGACUGUGAAGCAGUGGGAAUUGGAGGGCUCAGGCUAUGGAGAAGGGGAAGUCCUUUUGCAUAUGGUAUUAAGAAGGCGGCGGACACUGGGACUGAUCAUCACUGGAAAGAAGCUGUUUUUGCCACAUGUGGACAGCAAGUAAACAUUUGGGAUGAACAAAGAACUAAUCCU